rnacentral:rRNA from 1 species
GACGAACCGUACGAACGUUAUUCGGAAUUACUGGGCUUAAAGAGUGCGUAGGCGGCUUGGCAAGUUGGGUGUGAAAUCCCUCGGCUCAACCGAGGAACUGCGCUCAAAACUGCCAGACUUGAGGGAGAUAGAGGUGAGCGGAACUGAUGGUGGAGCGGUGAAAUGCGUUGAUAUCAUCAGGAACACCGGAGGCGAAAGCGGCUCACUGGAUCUCUUCUGACGCUGAGGCACGAAAGCUAGGGGAGCGAACGGGAUUAGAUACCCGCGUA